GGGGUCAAUGUGGGGUAGGGGGCUAUGAGACCCCCAAGUGUGGGGUCUAUGGGGUCAAUGUGGGGUAGGGAGCUACAGGACCCCCAAGUGUGGGGUUUUGUGGGGCUGAAUGUGGGGUAGGGGGCUAUGGGACCCCCAAGUGUGGGGUUUUGUGGGGUCAAUGUGGGGUAGGGGGCUACAGGAUCCCAAUUGCAGGGUUUGUGGGGUCGAUGUGGGGCAGGGGGCCAUGGGACCCCCAAGUGUGGGGUUUGGGGUGGUCGAUGUGGGGCAGGGGGCCACGGGACCCCCAAGUGUGGGGCUGUGGGAUGCUCCAUACCUUCUUGUAGGGCACGCAGGGGUUCAUCGCUGCCUCCGGCCGCUUCCAAAGCUGCCCCCAAAAGACCCCAAAUAGUUUUGGGGCCGCCCCACAGCGCACCCCAAACUGCACCCCGCACCCAACCCCACGCUGACUCACGGGGCCUCACGUGCCCCACAGACGGGGAGGGGAAGUGGGACGGCCCCAAAAUGGGAGGGUUUCCCUGGGGGUGUGGGGCAGGAUGGGGUUAUAGGGACUGGGGUGGGAUUGGGGGCGGGAGCGGGGGGUGUUUGGGGCGGAUUUUGGGAUGUUUGGGUGUUUUGGGGGCAGAUUUGGGGAUGUUUGGGGGGGAUUUGGGGUCAGGGAUGGGAUUGGGGUCAGGAUUUGGGGAUGUUUGGGGCAGAUUUGGGAUAUUUGGGUGUUUUGGGGUCUGGAUUGGGGGGAUGUUUGGGACGGAUUUGGGAUAUUUGGGUGUUUUGGGGUCAGGAUUGGGGGAUGUUUGGGGAUAUUUGGGGUAGAUUUGGGGACAGGGAUGGGGUUGGAGUCGGGAUUUGGGGAUAUUUGGGGCGGAUUUGGGAUAUUUGGCUGUUUUAGGGGCAGAUUUGGGGAUGUUUGGGGUGGAUUUGGGGUCAGGGAUGGGGUUGGAGUCGGGAUUUGGGGAUAUUUGGGAUGGAUUUGGGAUAUUUGGGUGUUUUUGGGGCAGAUUUGGGAAUGUUUGGGGUGGAUUUGGGGUCAGGGAUGGGAUUGGGGUCGGGAUUUGGGGAUGUUUGGGGCGGAUUUGGGAUAUUUGGGUGUUUUGGGGGCAGAUUUGGGGAUAUUUGGGGGGAAUUUGUGGUCAGAGAUGGGAUUGGGGUUGGGAUUUGGGGAUAUUUGGGGCAGAUCUGGGGAUAUUUGUGUGUUUUGGGGUUGGGAUUUGGGGAUAUUUGGGUGUUUUGGGGUCAGGAGUUGGGGAUUUGGGGCGGAUUUGGGGACAUUUGGGGUGGAUUUGGGGUCAGGUAUGGGACUGAGGUCGGAAUUUGGGGUCAUUUGGGGCCAUUUGGGUGUUUUGGGGUCAGGAUUUGGGGCCAUUUGGGGCGGAUUUGGGGCCAUUUGUGGUACUUUAGGCUGAGGACUGGGGGAUAUUUGGGGUCAGCGAUGGGACUGGGGUCGGAAUUUGGGGAUAUUUGGGGCCAUUUGGGGACUUUUGGGGUAUUUCAGGCUCAGGGUCGGCGAUCUUUGGGGUCGGGGUGGAUUUUGGGGUGGAUUUUGGGGGGGAUUUGGGGCCAUUUUGGGGACAAUGUGGGGCUCCAACCACGUCCAGCCCGAGAUGUGGCGGAUUUGGGGCAUUUUGGGGCAUUUCGGGCGGAUUUCGGGCGGAUUUCGGGCGGAUUUCGGGCGGAUUUCGGGCGGAUUUCGGCCACUUUCGACCCUUUUCCCCCCCGCCCCCCCAGCCGUACCGGAGGUCCCGNNNNNNNNNNNNNNNNGGCGGAUCCGGGGGGCGGCGCCCGCCGCCGCGCUGCGCUCUAUGAUCACCGCUCCUGUUUGUGCCGGGGCGCGGAGUUAUGACGUCACGUCCGGCUCCCCGCGGUCAGCACUUCCGGUUGGGGCCUGGACGGGAGGGUCCGCGAGGCGACGCGAUGGGGCGGGGGAGGUGUGUGGGGAAAUGGGGCGGGGGGAGACGGAGGGGGCUGUGGGGCAG
rnacentral:lncRNA from 1 species